AACUACAAUAGUAAAAAGACUAAACCUCAAAUCAUGAUUAGCAUAAGUGUUGUGACUCACAAGUGAAUUUGUGGGCCUGUGGAUCUCCCAAACCUCUAGUAAAAAAAAAUUGAUGGUUGCUAUUUUUAUGUAGGAUACAGAUCUAUAGUUUCUAUCAGAUGUUCGACACCAAGGUUGACAGAGUCUGUAAAAAACUGAAAUGCACACCCCAGAUCAAUGCUCACUCUUAUUUCACUCUAUUGCAUUAGAAGGUUAAAAUACCUUAAUUCACCCAAAGUACCAAAAGCUGAACAUCUUUUACCAAAGUCCAUAAUCUUUUAAAUCAUUGCUUUUUACUCCUCUUGCUUUGCAUGUCCCUCAAAUCAGCACGUUACAGAGGCUGCAUGCUUUAGAGAGUAACUGAAGCCUAGAAUCAGCGAUGGAUGUUGACUGCAUCUUGCAUCUGUUUCAGAGUCCAGCUGAAGAUAAACUACAGUUGAGGAUUGGAGCAGCAGUGUAUUUUUAAAUAAUCACCAAAAUAACAAGAGCCUGGCCAAAUGCUCUGGACUGCGUGCUUAUUUAAAAACAAAUCUUCUUCAAGGUUUGAUAACCACCAACUCAGACAGCAUCUUCAUUGCUAAGACUCUUCAAUUCCACAGCAUGUGUUUCAAAUUUUGCCUGCAUAACUUAUUUUUUGUCCUACUUUUCUGUCAAAAACAAUGUGGAAACCCCAGGUUAUAUAAUUGAGGUCUUGGAGAGGCUGUAUACAUCCCGCCAAACAAAACAAAAUGAAAGCUAUUAUCCUGAAAUAUGUUUGAGGAAGUCUUGGCCUUUGUUGGGUUAAGAGAGCCAACAGCUUCCUUAGUGCAACCAUGUGCGAAAUCAGUCUUUACCAUAAUGUGAUCUGUAACAACGUUUGUGUAUUUUUAAGUACGGAGGAGAAGAAAUCAGUUUGGAGUGAAGUAAUAAUGUGUUCUAGAAGCUGAAAUCACUGUGCUAAUCUUCCUUGUGAUUAUCUUCCCCAUUAGACAAGUCAAGUGGAGAGCUCUCUCUGCAAGGCUUGUCUCUGCAGGGUGGAUGGGAAGAUAGUCAUUUCUUUCUUUCUCCUAUGAGGGCGAACACACAACUAAUUUAGGUUAAAGCUAAAAGGGUGCCUCUCCUUUGCAGGGACUCUUACAUGUGCUUUAGAGGAUGUCUGAAUAGGGCAGGUUUGAUCCCAUACAGCAUUGAGGAGGAAGUGGUGGAGAUGGUCAAGUUGGCAAUAUUUGGGGCCACUUUGCUGUUCUCAUGGAGUGUUGAGAGAGAGAUGAUGUUGUGUGACAGGCUUUUCCUAGGAAGAUGUGUCACACACAUGAAUCUGCUCCUUCCAGAAGGAGAACCCAUGAUGGAGCAAAGACGCAAUUUUACCAAAGUUCAAUUGUGAAUUAAUGAGUUUUUAUUGGGGAUCCUAGCAGGAGUAUGGGUAGAGGUUUCCUUAAAGGAACCGGGAAGACUAUAGUGCAGCAGAGUCACUGAAAAGCCCACCCCAACAAGGGCCGAGGACUCAGGAACUCAGAGACUUCACAGCUCUCUGUACAGAUUAGAAACAUUCCUCCAGUCUGUCUGGGAAUCUCUUCUCUGCAGUUCAGGUGGCCAGAGUCUUUUCCUCGAGCAGCUGUUGACUUUUUAAAGUUGGGGAGGAAUCUUCCAUGUUUGUAUUUUCCAGACACAACCUUUAGUUUACCUCUUAAGUCCCAUGAGUCGCCUCUCACUCCUUCCCCA
rnacentral:lncRNA from 1 species